AACAAACUCACAUUUACAUUUACAUUACACAUCAGUCUCAUGGAUGUUGUUGUGUGUGCUGCUCGUUUGGAGCCUUCUGCUUCCCAUCCCUCCCUCUGUGGCAGACAGGUGUUCAGUGAUGGGAUUGAAACACCCCCAGCACGCUCCAUCCUGCUGCUAACACCACUGAAUCAAUCAGACACCCUCCGCCAUCCUUCCCCUGCCAUUUGGAGCUGUUUUGAACCUCAUCUUCCUGGUUUUCAGGGGGGUCUGUGUUCAUGACGAGGCCCUCCACAGAUGUGAUUAUAGCUGCUGCUUGACUCUGGGUGUCGCUGACUUAAAGGGUGAUUUAGCACCACAGGAAACAUCCUGGUGAGGAAAAUAUAAUUCCUGGCCUGUCGAGAGUGAUGAUCUCUCACACACUCCCACACACACUGACUCUCAGCUCGGUUCUCCCUCCACCUUUCUCUUUCUGAAGUGCACACCUUAUUAUGCUGCCUUUUUUUCUUUUUUACACCAUCCAAAGAGUGAAAUUAAGGCGGUCAGGCAGGGAGUGUUCUGUCCUCUGUGAUGCCCAGGGUGUGAAAUCAGAGCGUGGUAAUUAAAAAUCUGUCCCUAGUCCAGCCAUCUGGACCCUGGAGAGCCCGUGAUUAACCUGCGAGAGUCUGUAGGGAGGCAAGGAGGCAGGAUGGGACCCCUGCUUAGAGAUAACCGAAGCUAAGUUUUGAGGGCCACUAAGUCACUCCCCCCUUUGUUACUGUUGCUAUGAAUGUCUAUGGCUAUAAAGUUUUAUGUUCUCACACAACACAUGUGUAGUUUUCAGUGACAGCAGUGGACGAUUUUCCUCUCCAAAAUGUUAUUAGUGGUAGUUAUCUUCAGACGGCGGUGGACAAAAGCAGGGUUUUCAUCUCUAGCCAGCGACCGUUGAUUUUAACAAAAGUAAUUGGCGGAUUUUAUAGGCUGUCGCUAGCUCAUUUAGCUUAUGUUCCAAGCUAAAAAUCUACUAAAGGGCAGCUAGUGUUAGCCUAAACUCUGAUAGCAUCUAGGACUGAAUUCCACAGAGCAAGGAAAUACUACACAGUGGGUGUGCUGAACAGUGAUUUUUUAACAUAACCUGAUCUCCCACUAACAAUGCCGAUAAUAAUACACUUCUUGGCCAUGGCGCAUUAUUACUAUCGUCAGUUGUUCGCUAAUUAGCCAUACAAGCAAGAUGGAACAGAUAAACACACUGUUUAAACCUUUCCUCACAUUUUUGGGCCUGUGUUCUUACUUUUUGAAAGGUUAAAAUCUGGCCCCACCCCCAAAAAAAUCUAAUCCAAAUGAUUGGAUAUUCGCUGCUAGGGGGGAGGAGUUUAGCGAACAUUGAAUUACGUCUCAACAAUCAGUUAUAGGAGUUAGAUCAAACCAAGAACUUUGACUUUAUCUCAGUUCUUCUAAUCAAGUGCUGGUUAUAUAUGCAAGGCUAGUAAGUAAGCUGAUAUUUGGGUGAACUGACCCUUUAAAUAAGGCUGAUGCAUGUCAUGCUUAAGGAAAAACUAGGAUCCUACUUUGUUUAUCACACAAAAAAAUCCUCCUGACUUCAAUUUUGUUACUGUAAAAGCUGACACGAGACCUUUUCUGGGUUGACUGAGUCAUUUCCUUUUUGUGUUUUACUACAAAACCCACUAAAUUAAUCCAAAACCCCACUGCGGAUUUUCAAAAAUGCAAGCCUGUUUUUUAUUAUUUCUUAAAAGAGAAAACAGCAAUGGUGCAUGAGCAGGCAAAAGCCCUCACGCAUGCAGAAAGCCCUCACAGUGUGACUGCAUGACUGUAUCAUCCUCAGCGUGUCAUAGGACAAUGAGAUACAGGCUGCGAUGUCACCGUGAAACAAGUUGCAUUGAAGGGCACACUCAGCAAACAAAGAUUUGCAGAGUUGUAAAUAGAUAGGUGAGGUUGCACACAAGGAGAGAAAAUAAAUAAAUAAAAGCUGGAAAUAGGAAUGGAGUUUAUCAGGAAGAUAAAAAAGGCUGAGAUGUGAUGGUAAUAUCUUCUUCUAGGGUGGCUUUUUAAGCGACCGCAAGCAAGGAGAAGUAACAUAAAACUGACAUCCGGAGUUAUUAAUGAACACAAUCAAGAGGAUAUUGACUAGUGAAUGUAAUAUGGCACGGAUCUCUGCCCUUGAAUGGGAGAAAGGACAGCCCUACCUGUGCACACAAACUCUCAGAGAAAGUGAUGGGAUACAGAUAGCAGAGAUGUCAGGCAAUGAUUGUUAAGGGAUAUGAACACUUUUUUUGUCUUAUUUGCACCUUUAAGUAUACUUUUUACCGUAUGCAUUUCUACAAGAAUGUGACUACUACUUUUACUGUUACUCUACUAACAACUAGAGCUGAAAAACUGACAUUGUUUCAUGCUGUAAAAUAUUGUGACAAAUUAUGUAUAUUAUUAAAAGUAUGCUAGCAAGUACAUUGUUUCUCAAGGCAUCCUUGUCUAUUAAAGUUGUAUUUUUUUAAGUUGGGUUUUUGAUAUCUGUACUCUAUUGUCUUUUUUUGUUAUUUUAAUUCAUGCUGUGCACUAAAACAAAUUAUUUGUCUUGUUUCAAUAUCCUUCUAUGUCAGAAACUCUUUCUACUAAAGCUAUUUGCAUUUCUUCUUGAGAUAGAUAUAUUACUAUCCUAUCCCUGGAAUAAACUAAACCUGUGUGUACGAA